CUGAGCUUCAAAGCUGGUUGGUGGCUGCAUCCCCCUGGCCAAGGUAGAGCAGGGGGUAAAGGGGUGAAACAAAGAAGAGGCCCUUGGAGCAGACCAGUGGACAGAUGAUGGUGGCCGGACCAGGGCGGGAUGCUGAAGGUGGGGAGAAGUGGCUGGAGCCGGCAUUUUCCUCCAGGCUUCAGCAUAGCUAACGCUCCUGGGGGCUUACUGUGCCCCAGACCUCCUGAGAAGUCAGCAUGGAACUGCUCACUAAGCAUGAAUUGGGGAAUAAUUCGCCACCAUUAUUUUGUGGACCCUCAGAACAAGGAAGCUUGGUUCUUCUCCUUCUGCCCAUUUUGUAGGGGAGGAAACCAUGGAAACUCAGAGUGCUCCUCUGACAUUUGCCGAAGGAUAUAUGGACAAUAAAGAGCAGAGCUGAUAUCAGAGCUCAAGCUUGCAAAUGUGUAUGCGGGCCGCCAUGCCAUGUCUGCCACCUCUCUCAUGGUACUGUUGGGGGACAGGAGGGCCAUUGGAGGCAGCGGGCUUUGCCCUACUACCCAUGGCACAUAGAUUUUAAAUAAGAGCUUUGAUCUGGAAGCAGCAUGGGGUAUGUAUUGCCUCAACUCAGCUUGACAUGGGGUCUUCUAUCCAACAAAUGACGCCAACCCUCACCAGGCCUGAAGACCUUGCCUGGAGAAGAAGCAGUGGCGUGAAGUCAAAGAGGUGCAUUCACCUGCCAGCUUUGCCUCUGCCUGCGUUCUGUACCUGAGCCUCAGGAAUCACAUUUUCGUCUUGGUUUUGCUACAAAAAUUUAGAAGCAGCAGCAUGUGUGAAAACCCUAGCUCAGACUGUCAGACUGGGCACUGGAGAGACACCAGCAGCCACGAUCCACUGAGUUUGCUUUAGGGCAGGCAGUGGGACAGGUAUGCUAACGCAUCCCCAAAUCCUGACAGCCACCCAGAGGUAGCUCCUGUUAUUGUGGCUGCCCUGAAGUUUAACAUGGGGAGAAAUACCAGAUAUAGGUGAUGGGGGGAUGGAGGCAGCAAACCUCCUUGCCAUGUAUGUACCUAUGCAACAAUCCUGCAUGAUCUGCACAUGUACCCCAGAACCUAAAGUACGAUUAAAAAAAAAAAGAAAACUGAAGUUCUGAACAAUGUAGGAACUGCACUGAGUGGAUUUUCCACCCAGGUGAGUCGUUUAGGUCAUGACACAGCACCGCCCAUACAUGUGGGGUGUUUACAUGAGAAUUCAGAAGCGCAGAUUCAGGGGCAGGCAUUGCCUGCAUGCAUGUCCUUUACCCCGGGCUGUCUGCCCCUGGGCUGUUUGUAAUGUCAUUGGGG
ensembl:lncRNA